UGCAGUGAUGAUGGGUUUAUAAAUCUCGUUAAUCUGAAAUUUUUAAUGAAGAGACUUACUUCCCAACCAUUCAUUACAAAUCUGAGC
rfam:Arabidopsis lyrata subsp. lyrata unplaced genomic scaffold ARALYscaffold_3, whole genome shotgun sequence.